rnacentral:rRNA from 1 species
UACGUAGGGUGCAAGCGUUAAUCGGAAUUACUGGGCGUAAAGCGUGCGCAGGCGGUUAUAUAAGACAGUUGUGAAAUCCCCCGGGCUCAACCUGGGAACUGCAUCUGUGACUGUAUAGCUAGAGUACGGUAGAGGGGGAUGGAAUUCCGCGUGUAGCAGUGAAAUGCGUAGAUAUGCGGAGGAACACCGAUGGCGAAGGCAAUCCCCUGGACCUGUACUGACGCUCAUGCACGAAAGCGUGGGGAGCAAACAGG